UGCCAGCCGCCGCGGUAAGACGGAGGGCGCAAGCGUUGUUCGGAAUUACUGGGCGUAAAGCGCGGGCAGGUGGCCCGUUAAGUCGCCUGUGAAAAUCCGGGGCUCAACCCCGUGAAAUGCAGGCGAAACUGGCGGGCUGGAGAUCGGUAGAGGCUAGCGGAAUUCCUGGUGUAGCGGUGGAAUGCGUAGAUAUCAGGAAGAACACCCGUGGCGAAGGCGGCUAGCUGGGCCGAGUCUGACACUCAUCCGCGAAAGCGUGGGGAGCAAACAGGAUUAGAUA
rnacentral:rRNA from 1 species